rnacentral:lncRNA from 1 species
UUAGCUCUUCCUCAGCGGGUUGUUAUUCCCAAUAACCCGUAAUGAAUACACCUCAUGUGUUCCUCAGCUAGUCAUCCUUGAUAUGUUUACCCUAACCGGUAACAGAUGUCCUGUCUAUCAGAUUAUAUUAUCUUCCUACCCAGUAGAAGGUAAUAGAUGAUAUAUUUAUAUCACUCCUGUGUUGAAGAUUAUCUCUUCCCCAAUUGAGUUUGAGUGCAUAUUUCCUCAGUGAAAUCGCCUUUUCCUGCUUGGUCCGAGUAUUUCAGCUU